rnacentral:rRNA from 1 species
UACGGAGGGUGCAAGCGUUAUCCGGAUUCACUGGGUUUAAAGGGUGCGUAGGCGGGCAGGUAAGUCCGUGGUGAAAUCUCCAAGCUUAACUUGGAAACUGCCAUUGAUACUAUUUGUCUUGAAUACUGUGGAGGUCAGCGGAAUAUGUCAUGUAGCGGUGAAAUGCUUAGAUAUGACAUAGAACACCAAUUGCGAAGGCAGCUGGCUACACAAAUAUUGACACUGAGGCACGAAAGCGUGGGGAUCAAACAGG